AUGGCGGUGCAGCAGUGUACGGUGGCGCUCUUGGUGGCCGUCGCCCUCGUGGCGGGGCCAGCCGUCUCGUAUGCUGCCGAAGCUGGCUACGCCCCAGCCGGGCCACAGCCCAAGGCCACGACCGAGGAGCAGAAGCUAGCUGAGAAGGCCAACAACGCCUUCAAGGCGGCCGUGGCGGCCGCAGCCGCAGCCCCUCCAACGGACAAGGGCAAGAUAUUCCUGAACACCUUCGUGCAGAUCUUCGGCAACUGGUCUCUUGAGGGGGUCACCGACACGUCCAGCACCAAAGCCAUUUUCAACUCCAGGAAUCGACACACAAUCAUCACCUGCAUGCACAAAAUACCUACGUAUUCGAGGCCAGACAGAGUGCAAUAUAUACUAGUACCUCAAGGAUUGGAGCAUGGGAGCACCUUAAGGAUGGGAGUACUAGAUAUUUCCCCGAAGCAUGAGGUAACCUCGUCGGUGAGGGAAUUCUCGGCGAAGCACAAGAAGGUGGGUAGGAUGAGAAAUAGUCACACACACUUCUAUGCCAACGAGAAAGCCAAGAUCGUCGCUCUCACAACAGUCUCCUCUCAGGCCCCAGUCGCUCCUACCGACACAGAGUUUGCCCGCUCUGAUGUGUCCAACGAGGUGUUUUUCAGGACUCUGCCGUCGUGGUUUAUGUGGGACUUCGCCUACGCCAACGUGGCAAAAAACCCGUACGUGGUGUUUUGCCGGUCAUCGGAAUGA
rnacentral:rRNA from 1 species